rnacentral:rRNA from 1 species
UACGUAGGGUGCAAGCGUUGUCCGGAAUUAUUGGGCGUAAAGAGCUCGUAGGCGGUUUGUUGCGUCGGCUGUGAAAUCCCGAGGCUCAACCUCGGGUCUGCAGUCGAUACGAGCAAACUAGAGUGUUGCAGGGGAGACUGGAAUUCCUGGUGUAGCGGUGAAAUGCGCAGAUAUCAGGAGGAACACCGGUGGCGAAGGCGGGUCUCUGGGCAAGAACUGACGCUGAGGAGCGAAAGCGUGGGGAGCGAACAGG